CAGAUAGUUAAUAAAUCUUAGUUUCUGCAUAACACGUGAAAAAAAAAGAGAGAAUGGAAGAUGAAAUACAGAUUUAAAGUUCAGCUUUUUACGUGUUUGUGAAAAGACAAAACACAUUCGCCGAAAGGGGAGAAGUGGCAUGUUUCUUAGUAAGUUUACAGACUUCUAGCUGUUUCUGCUCUCUCUCAUUCCAUAUUAUAAAUAUGUGGGAGCUGCUAACAAUUCUCAUAUCCUGUAUGACACCAUGCUUGCGUCAUUGAUCACAUGAUGCUUUCCCGCCAUAAUUGGCAGAAGGGAGCCUGAC